rnacentral:rRNA from 1 species
GGGACGAACGCUGGCGGCGUGCUUAACACAUGCAAGUCGAGCGGUAAGGCCUUUCGGGGUACACGAGCGGCGAACGGGUGAGUAACACGUGGGUGAUCUGCCCUGCACUUCGGGAUAAGCCUGGGAAACUGGGUCUAAUACCGGAUAUGACCUCCUAUCGCAUGGUGGGUGGUGGAAAGAUUUAUCGGUGCAGGAUGGGCCCGCGGCCUAUCAGCUUGUUGGUGGGGUAAUGGCCUACCAAGGCGACGACGGGUAGCCGACCUGAGAGGGUGGCCGGCCACACUGGGACUGAGACACGGCCCAGACUCCUACGGGAGGCAGCAGUGGGGAAUAUUGCACAAUGGGCGAAAGCCUGAUGCAGCGACGCCGCGUGAGGAUGACGGCUCGGGUUGUAAACCUCUUUCAGCAGGACGAAGCGCAAGUGACGGUACCUGCAGAAGAAGCGAACCGGCUAACUACGUGCCAAGCCGAGACCGC